rnacentral:ncRNA from 1 species
GUUCCCUUGAUGGCAGGGUCACGCCAUCAUCCUCCCUGUUGGACUCGCCCCCGCAAUUCGCGGGGGCUUUUUU